rnacentral:rRNA from 1 species
AGCUGCAGAAGAAGCACCGGCUAACUCCGUGCCAGCAGCCGCGGUAAUACGGAGGGUGCGAGCGUUAAUCGGAAUUACUGGGCGUAAAGCGCAUGCAGGUGGUUUGUUAAGUCAGAUGUGAAAGCCCGGGGCUCAACCUCGGAAUUGCAUUUGAAACUGGCAGACUAGAGUACUGUAGAGGGGGUAGAAUUUCAGGUGUAGCGGUGAAAUGCGUAGAGAUCUGAAGGAAUACCGGUGGCGAAGGCGGCCCCCUGGACAGAUACUGACACUCAGAUGCGAAAGCGUGGGGAGCAAACAGGAUUAGAUACCCUGGUAG